CGGCGGCUUUUCGCGCCCCUCUCCUGUCCCGGGACACUCACAGGACUGCUCGGCGCCGAGAGAGGCUUCACCGCGGCCGAGAAGAGUUUUGUACCUGCCCGCGUCUCCCGCAGGACGCCGAGCGAGGCUGUGGCCCUGUGCGGUGGGGGGUUCGAGCGUGGCCGUUCCCUGCCGGAGUAGCGGAGGGACGCCGCGGGGCCUCGCGUGUGCCCCACCACCCUCCCGCCGAGGAGUGCUGCAUCCUGGCAAGGCGUCCCUUGUGGCUCGGAUCUCAGAAGAGAGAGGUCCUUGUGGUUAUUGAGGGGAAAUUCUUCACUGUGAGGGUGGUGAGGAACUGGAACAGGUCCCCCAGAGAAGCUGUGGAUGCCUCAUCCCUGGAAGUGUUCCAGGAACUUUUGGGAUAAGAUGAUCUUUAAGGUCCCUUCCAACUCAAACCAUUUUAUGAUUCUAUGAAUAGUGGUCUCCCCAGCAGAACUUGCUUCUUCUCCAGUGUCAUAUACUGUCCUAUAACCAGUAUGAUAUGCUUUAAACUAAGUCAGACUUAACUGAAAGCGGUAGCUGCCAAUGAGAGUGGGUAUGAGAAGUGACUAAAGAGAUAAUACUGCAAUCUGUGCAGGCUUGGGAUAAUUUUUUUGGCUUUGAGUAUCACUACUUGUCUGUUCAUUCACCAACUUCUCUUAAUUGUGGUACAUAAGAUGUACUGAAUAGAAGUGACACUUUCUGGAAAAAGCUGUCCAGGCUGUGCCCUUGCUCUGAGGGACUGAUUAGCUUCACCUCAGGACAUAAGCACAUACAAGGAAGUCUGGCAGGGAUCCUCAAGAGUCCUGAAAUACAGAGCUGGUCGUGGCCUGCAGAUCCGUAGAAUGGUUUCAGAUGGGAAGGAAUUUAAAGAUAAUCUAGUUCCAACACCGCUGCCGUGGGCAGGGACACCUUCCUCUAGUUGCUCAGAGUCCCAUCCCAACCUGGCCUUGAGCACUUCCGGGGACGGAGUAUCCACAGCUUCUCUGGAUAACCCAUCCAGUUCUCCAUCACCUUCACAGUAAAGAAUGUCUUCCUAACAUCGAAUACAAGCCUAGGAUUUAAGGACUGUGGCCCGCAUGGGGAUCUCGGGUGUUGUCCUAGAUGGGCAGCAGCGGGCAGCCUCAGGUGCCGAAGUCGGCUGUCCUGCCCGCGCUGCCCGCCGCGCUCCCGCAGGCGCCGCCGGCUGCCUGUACCGCGCAUGCUCCGCCCGGCCGCGCCUCGGCCCAAGGGAGCUGGCCUGGCCCAGCGCCUUUAAAUGCCUCUGGCUGCCUAAUGGAGCUACAGCCGCUGAACUUGUCCCCAGGUUUUUGCCAGGAAACUUGUGAGUCCGCGAAGCCUGGCCCAGUGGCUGUUCACAUAGCUUUAAAAGCUGACCAAAGUAGUUACCAAGGUCUUCCCCCCCCCCCCCCCCCGCCAGUCUGCUAUUCUUUUGAGGUAGCCCGGUUAAAGUGUUAGUAGUGAUGACUGAUAGACUAAUGGCUAAGAGAUGGCCUGAAACAACACCAAGAGACAUCCCAGAAGAAAACCAGGAAAUUUCACCAGCUGGAUCUGAAUUUUUUUUAAGGAUAUCUGUAGGGAUUGAGAAAGGAAAAAAACCCAAAACACAAAACCAGAAGUAAAAAUGUCUAACAAUCCCCAAUUCAAGUGUUGCCUUUUGGAUUAACAAGACAAAAAUCAAAGGUUCUGGACUAGGAAAAAAAAAAAAGACUCUGGAAAAAAAUUGCAGGGAAAGGAAUGGCAGGAAAACAGGAAACCUUUGGCUUGAUUGUAAUUUCCUAUUCAAACAGCUGGAACUAGGUCCAAAGGAGCUAAAAAUAAACUCCAGAAGGAAAUCCAAGUUCCCAUGCCCUGGUGAAAAUCAGCAACCACGAUGAGGAGUUAAGACAGAAACUUUUUCUAAUAACACGCAAUUCUACAUGCUUCUAUUCUGUUUAUAGCCAGGAGAGGGGGGGAUUACCUAGCUAAAGCAAUAUCAACAUCUGCUCUGUGGAGGAAAAAAAAAGUACUGGUUGAAAAUAACUUGACUGUCCAAAUGGAGUGCUGGAAGAUGUAAGAGCAAAGGGUAUUUCUGGGCACUACAUAUGGGCACAGGGCUUAUGGCAGCUUAUAGUUUAUUUCCAGAUUAUAAAGCUAAUUUAUCAGAUCUCUUAUGAACCCUUAGCAUAUAAAGUGGCAACACCUAUCUUAAUCAGCUCUCUAGAAGCAAAUGCUAGAAGUGGAGAAAGAAGAAAUUCUAUCUGGCUUGUUAGAGGACUUGCAAAGAUUUUUGUUUAGUGUGUAUAAAUACAUCUAUAAAUCCAACCAAGUACCAGAGGACCAGACUCUGGACUGACCAUUUCAUCAAUACAAGUGAAUGCAAGUGUUA